rnacentral:lncRNA from 1 species
GACCUAGCUUUGAUACCAUGUAAAGAUAUGCACUAGGCAUAGCUCAACCCCAUAGUUAGGGAUAGAACUCUCGAGAAAUGAUGGAUAUUGUAUAAAAUAGUAUUAUUUAUGGGGCAGUGCUAAAUUCUGACAUUUUUUAACAUCCCAAAAUGGGAAAAAAGAAGUGCUGUAAAUUUCCUUGAACAUGUAAAAACAAGAACUAAGACUCGAGUAGAAUUCUGCCUUAGAGUGGCUUCAUCACAAAAUUAGAAUUUCCCUAGAAGGAAGAGAUAUCACUCAUUGACAACAACAUAAACCAGAUGGAUGAAGUCAAAGCAGAACCUUCCUAGCCUUGAUAAUGGCUCCAUGUUACAUUCUUUCUCGGUUUUAUGCUUAGUGUUCAUGGUUUUGUUUCUCUGUUUUCAUCUGUGAACCAAACCCAGAUCAAAACAAAUAACCACUUCCUUGUUUCGGUUUUGUUGGUUUUUCCCACAUGAAAAUACAAAUUCAUUUCAUUAUCUACUAGAGCUAAGACAUAAUUUCUCAUGUGUUCAUGUUUAUCGAGAAUCAAACAACUUGAUUAAACCUACUAUCUAUUAAAAGCAUAUAUCUGUGACAAAUUUCACUAUGAGACGUGACAACUAUUCACUUCCAUAGAACAAACAACCUUGAUCCAC